CCUACGGGGGACAGCAGUGAGGAAUAUUGGUCAAUGGACGAGAGUCUGAACCAGCCAAGUAGCGUGAAGGAUGAAUGCCCUAUGGGUUGUAAACUUCUUUUAUAAAGGAAUAAAACGAGGCACGUGUGCCUUUUUGCAUGUACUUUAUGAAUAAGGAUCGGCUAACUCCGUACCAGCAGCCGCGGUAAUACGGAGGAGCCGAGCGUUAUCCGGAUUUAUUGGGUUUAAAGGGAGCGUAGAUGGGGUGUUAAGUCAGUUGUGAAAGUUUGCGGCUCAACCGUAAAAUUGCAAUUGAUACUGGCAGGCUGGAGUACAGUUGAGGUAGGCGGAAUUCGUGGUGUAGCGGUGAAAUGCGUAGAUAUCACGAAGAACACCGAUUGCGAAGGCAGCUUACUAAACUGUGACUGACAUUGAUGCUCGAAAGUGUGGGUAUCAAACAGGAUUAGAUACCCGUGUAGUC
rnacentral:rRNA from 1 species